rnacentral:rRNA from 1 species
CAGCCGCCGCGGGAAUACGAAGGGGGCUAGCGUUGCUCGGAAUGACUGGGCGUAAAGGGCGCGUGGGCGGUUUGUACAGUUAGAUGUGAAAGCCCUGGGCUCAACCUAGGAAUUGCAUUUGAUACUGUUUGGCUUGAGUUCGGGAGAGGUGAGUGGAAUUCCCAGUGUAGUGGUGAAAUUCGUAGAUAUUGGGAAGAACACCAGUAGCGAAGGCGGCUCACUGGACCGACACUGACGCUGAGGCGCGAAAGCGUGGGGAGCAAACAGGAUUAGAUACCCGUGUAGUCCCUGUCUCUUAUAC